rnacentral:rRNA from 1 species
GGUGAACGCUGGCGGCGUGCCUAAUACAUGCAAGUAGAACGCUGAAGGAGGAGCUUGCUCUUCUGGAUGAGUUGCGAACGGGUGAGUAACGCGUAGGUAACCUGCCUGGUAGCGGGGGAUAACUAUUGGAAACGAUAGCUAAUACCGCAUGACAACAGUUAUUGCAUGAUAACUGUUUAAAAGGGGCAACUGCUCCACUACCAGAUGGACCUGCGUUGUAUUAGCUAGUUGGUGAGGUAACGGCUCACCAAGGCGACGAUACAUAGCCGACCUGAGAGGGUGAUCGGCCACACUGGGACUGAGACACGGCCCAGACUCCUACGGGAGGCAGCAGUAGGGAAUCUUCGGCAAUGGACGGAAGUCUGACCGAGCAACGCCGCGUGAGUGAAGAAGGGUUUCGGAUCGUAAAGAUCUGUUGUAAGAGAAGAACGAGUGUGAGAGUGGAAAGUUCACACUGUGACGGUAUCUUACCAGAAAGGGACGGCUAACUACGUG